AAAAUCCAUCUUAGGUUGACGUUGAAAAUGGACAGCCAGUGAAAGGCCAAUACUAGCGGAUUUCUCCAGAAAGAACCUGCAACCAAACAGUACAAAGAAAGGACCUCCGAAGCCUUCGACACUGAAAACAUUUGAGCGCUUCAGUAAAGGAAAAAUGGCAACGGGGCCGGACGACGUGGACGAAGUAAAUACAUCUAGUGCGACAAAAUUUUUUCGUCGCUUACUGAACCAUUACCUGGGUCAUCAACGUGAACAAAUUAACUGGAGCAGUUUCAUAUCAAAGACUGAAAGGAUAUCCAAGACGUACAACACCAUGUACACUUCGCUUGUCCCCUCACCAGAUUACAGCAAUAAUGACAACCAGUGCGCGUACAUGUACCUGUAUUUCAUGCAGAGCUGUUUUACGACCUACAAGACUCUUCUGGCCUUCCUACCAGAAUUACAAGCCAAACUCGAAUCGAGAAGUACGCUGAACGUUUGUUGCCUUGGCGGUGGACCUGGCACGGACUUGGUAGCGCUAAUUAAGUUCCUCCAAGAUCACCAAUUAUACCCCGUCAGGUUAAACUGUACAGUGCUAGACCGACAUGACAAGUGGGGGGACACAUGGACAUCUAUGCAGGAAAUCUUACGCUUGGGUCCAGGGACACUCUCUGUAGAGUACAGCCGUUGCGACUUCCUUGAAGAAUCCAGCCUUGAGGUAGGAGAACUUCAGCCAAUCCAGCGAUCAGAUAUCGUCACUUUCAUAACCGCCUUCUCUCCACUUUUUUACAGCCUGCAACAAGCACCGGAAAAGAAACUGCGACUUCAGGAAAUUUGUAAGCACAUAAAGGAUCAGGCGUUGGUGCUGUACAUUGACAAUUUCAACGACUCAAAAGUCCACCUCGAAUUCACUGAAUCCUUUUC